UGGGGAAUCUUGGACAAUGGGCGCAAGCCUGAUCCAGCCAUGCCGCGUGAGUGAUGAAGGCCUUAGGGUUGUAAAACUCUUUCGCCGAGGACGAUAAUGACGGUACUCGGAGAAGAAGCUCCGGCUAACUUCGUGCCAGCAGCCGCGGUAAUACGAAGGGGGCUAGCGUUGUUCGGAUUUACUGGGCGUAAAGCGCGUGUAGGCGGGUCGUUAAGUUGGGGGUGAAAUCCCGAGGCUCAACCUCGGAACUGCCUUUGAUACUGAUAGUCUUGAGAUCGGGAGAGGUGAGUGGAAUUCCUAGUGUAGAGGUGAAAUUCGUAGAUAUUAGGAAGAACACCAGUGGCGAAGGCGGCUCACUGGCCCGAUACUGACGCUGAGGUGCGAAAGCGUGGGGAGCAAACAGGAUUAGAUACCCAAGUAGUCCCUGAGCGGGCUGGCAAGGCGCAU
rnacentral:rRNA from 1 species